rnacentral:tRNA from 16 species
GGUUGGUCCAGUGGUAAAAUACUUGAUCUCCACACGGAGAGCCGUGGGUUUAAACCCGGCCGU